UUGGGUGAAAUCUAGGAGUCUCUCUUCUGGUUGAACUGAGUUACCUCAUUCCACAAGAGAUCUCCCUCACACAAUAUUGCCUGAUUAUAUGACAAUAAAAUUUUUAAAUAAUUGUUUCUGAUAUUUUGCAAACCAAGUUCUCUCCUUCCAUCUCCCUCUGCUCUCCUCUCCAAGAUGACAGGUAAUGUGAUAUAG
rnacentral:lncRNA from 1 species